rnacentral:rRNA from 1 species
GAUGAACGCUGGCGGCGUGCCUAAUACAUGCAAGUCGAGCGAACGGACGAGAAGCUUGCUUCUCUGAUGUUAGCGGCGGACGGGUGAGUAACACGUGGAUAACCUACCUAUAAGACUGGGAUAACUUCGGGAAACCGUAGCUAAUACCGGAUAAUAUUUUGAACCGCAUGGUUCAAAAGUGAAAGACGGUCUUGCUGUCACUUAUAGAUGGAUCCGCGCUGCAUUAGCUAGUUGGUACGGUAACGGCUUAUCAAGGCAACGAUGCAUAGCCGACCUGAUAGGGUGGUCGGCGACACUGGAACGGAGACACGGUCCAGACUCCUACGAGAGGCAGCAGUAGGCAAUCUGCCGCAACAGGCGAAAGCCUGACGGAGCAACGCCGCGUGAGUGAUGGAGGCCUUCGGAUCGUAAAACUCUGUUAUUAGGGAAGAACAGAUGUGUAAGUAACUGUGCACAUCUUGACGGUACCUAAUCAGAAAGCCACGGCUAACUACGUG